rnacentral:rRNA from 1 species
UACGAAGGGGGCUAGCGUUGUUCGGAUUUACUGGGCGUAAAGCGCACGUAGGCGGAUCGAUCAGUCAGGGGUGAAAUCCCAGAGCUCAACUCUGGAACUGCCUUUGAUACUGUCGAUCUGGAGUAUGGAAGAGGUGAGUGGAAUUCCGAGUGUAGAGGUGAAAUUCGUAGAUAUCGGGAGGAACACCAGUGGCGAAGGCGGCGACCUGGACGGACACUGACGCUGAGACGCGAAAGCGUGGGGAGCAAACAGG